rnacentral:rRNA from 1 species
UGGGGAAUCUUGCCCAAUGGGCGCAAGCCUGAGGCAGCGACGCCGCGUGGGGGAAGAAGGCCUUCGGGUUGUAAACCCCUUUCAGGAGGGACGAAGCCACUCGGGUUAAUACCCCAGAGGGUGACGGUACCUCCAGAAGAAGCCCCGGCUAACUACGUGCCAGCAGCCGCGGUAAUACGUAGGGGGCAAGCGUUGUCCGGAUUUAUUGGGCGUAAAGCGCGUGUAGGCGGCCACACAGGUCCGUUGUGAAAACUCGAGGCUCAACCUCGAGACGUCGAUGGAAACCGUGUGGCUAGAGUCCGGAAGAGGAGUGUGGAAUUCCCGGUGUAGCGGUGAAAUGCGCAGAUAUCGGGAAGAACACCCAUGGCGAAGGCAGCACUCUGGGACGGUACUGACGCUGAGACGCGAAAGCGUGGGGAGCGAACAGG